UCCCUAAUCCUGCAGCCGCUCAUCUUUCUGCCACUGUUUAAUCCGCCUGCACACACACACACACACACACACACAGCCAGUUAUUCUUGUAUUGAAUACUUGGACGCUCAGUAAUUCACACAGCAUGCAUUCUAUACACACACAGUCAUGCUCCAAUAGCACACACACACACACACACACACACACACACACACAGCCCGUGCCGUAUAAAACCCCCAGUUUCCCUGAAUGUCAUCCAUUCUCCGUCCUGUCCUGUCCUGUCUCUGCUGACUCCACACCUGUCCACAGCCAUGUCUGAUGUAGAGGAGGAAUACGAGGAACAGGCCGAGGAGGAAGAAGAGCAGCAGGAGGAAGAA